AUUUCUGUUGGAAUUCAUUAAACGUUUUACCGCACAGCUCGACGUACAAACUUACGAUCCGCCGAGCCCGAGUCCGAUUCCGAUUCCGAGUCCCCGAGUCCGAGUCCGAGUCUGAGUCUGAGUCUGAGUCAAAGCCAAAGUCGAGCAACAAAGGCAGCACACACAAUUUUUAAAUACAGCGCAGCGCAGAUUCGUCGCAACUCAGCUCAAUUACCGUCUACAAUAAAACACUUCAACUAAAUCAACAUGAAAUUCUUAGUCACCAUUGCCGCUCUGUGCCUGUGCCUGGCCUUUGCUGCCGGCCAGCAAUACUUUCUAGGACAAUUUCCCACCCGAUCCCGCUUUGCCUUCGACACCCUCUCCCUGGCACAGCCCUCUGCUGCGCAGGUGCGCGAUCCCCGCCAAAAUCGAGGACCCGUUGUGUUCCCACCCUCGCCCCCAGAUGCGAUUGAGGAGUCGAGCGGUGUUGUUGUUGGCGCCUCUGGUUUUGGUUUUGUGCCGCCACAGCAAAGUAAUUCACUUAGGCGUACGGUCUAAACAAUAGCAUAGCCUAGGCCAUUGUCACUCACAGCUACACUUGCAGCUACACCCACACAGACACACACUCUCACUCUCACACACACACACACACACACACUUAAAGCUUUAUUAGUGCAAUUGAAGCACAAUCUUUGGUUAACUGCACACACACGCACACACACACACGCAYACACAGCCAUAAGCACACACACGCACACAAGCUCACACUCAGUUACAGCACAGACAAUGCCAAACAGCGGAAACGGAAAUGCGCGUCACAGUUAAUCGCAAUUUGAGCGUUCGCAGCACUUAAUCAACUUCAAGCUAAGCCCCACAGUGGGCCACAA